rnacentral:rRNA from 1 species
UAGUCCACGCUGUAAACGAUGAGUGCAAGGUGUUGGGGGUCAAACCUCGGUGCCGCCGUUAACACAGUAAGCACUCCGCCUGGGGAGUACGUACGCAAGUAUGAAACUCAAAGGAAUUGACGGGGACCCGCACAAGUAGCGGAGCAUGUGGUUUAAUUCGAUGCAACGCGAAGAACCUUACCAGGGCUUGACAUAAAAGUGACGAGGGAUAGAGAUAUUCCUUUUCUCUUCGGAGACAGUUUUAC